CCCUGGUUAGCUCAGUUGGUAGAGCGCUCCACUUUUGAUGGAGAGGUCCCGGGUUCGAUACCCGGACCAGGCG
rnacentral:tRNA from 1 species